rfam:Zymoseptoria brevis strain Zb18110 contig4161, whole genome shotgun sequence.
GAGAGCUUAGCUUAAUGGUAAAGCAUGUGACUUUUAAUCAUUUUUAUGUGAGUUCAAAUCUCAUAGCUCUUA